UCCCCGUUGGAGCGGUGACGUAUUCCCUUGCUGGCCUCUUCAAUCAAUGGCGCAAGAGCAAAAUCAUCAGCCUUGGCCAUGUGCGAGUUUCCUGUAUUACAUACCCACCGAAAGGAAUUYGGAUUUCUCAACGUGUAACAUUCUCUUGGUGUUGCCCCUCUCAAGGGGGGAGCGGUAUCAGGUGAACCGCGAAGGCGAGUUUGUGUUCCGGGUCACUCACCGUUUGUGGUGCUGUCACGGCGCACGGACUGUAGCCUGAGCUCAUUGGUGCAGAAUACUAGGAGGGCAGGAGAUCUCCGACCUCUAAUUGCCCGAGACCCAGCGUUAAUCGCUCGCAUUUGAACGACUGCCUUCGUCGCCUCGAGACGUUGUGUCCUUGUGGUGCUUCGUCCUCGUGCGACGUCGGCGUCCGUGA
rnacentral:misc_RNA from 1 species